GCAAGAGACUCCAAUGGACUCCUUUAGAGGGUAAGUAAGGCUCCUCUUCCUCUUCUUCUUCCUCCUCUUCUUCUCCUCCUUCUUCUCCUUCUUGUUUUUCCUUUGAGAUCGCUUAGAGCUUUUUGGUUUUUGGCUUGGUGGAGAGCGUAAGUUCUCAGAGCUUUUUGGUUCAGGUUUGGUUUUGGCUUGGAUUGGUUGGUUGGGUUGGCAGCGUGGCCGCCAG
rnacentral:lncRNA from 1 species